rnacentral:tmRNA from 1 species
GGGGAUGUUCCGGAAUUCGACUGAAUAUCGUAGAAUGCACUCGCAUGCCGAAGACGACACUUGGCUUCGUAAAAAUGUGUCAAACAACUAUAAAUGGCGAAGAAUACGCUAUUGCCGCCUAAUUAAAGGCGACACGUCCGCCCUCCCACACCCGAUAAGAGGAGCGGGCGUCGACAUCGGGUAAAGAGGCUAAUGCCGCUCAAGCGGGGCAUUUGCCGCUACCAACCGCCUGAUAGCAACGCGCGGGAGUUCCGCCCUAACGCGCGCGCGAAAUUAAAACGGAACUACGCAUUGUAGCAUAGGGCAUCCGAAAGUAUUUAGGACAGGGGUUCGACUCCCCUCAUCUCCACCA